rnacentral:tRNA from 1 species
UCCUUGAUGGUCCAGAGGUUGAGACUCUGUGCUUCCACUGCAGGGGUGUGGGUUCAAUCCCUGGUCAGGGAA